AUUGAACGCUGGCGGCAGGCCUAACACAUGCAAGUCGAACGAGUGGCGGACGGGUGAGUAAUUUCGUGGAAACUGCCUGACGGAGGGGGAUAAGGAGGGGAAAAGGUAGCUAAUACCGCAUACCAUCAGAUGUGGCCAGGUUGGAUUAGGUUGUUGGUGGGGUAACGACUCACCAAGGCGACGAUCCAUAGCAGGUCUGAGAGGGUGACCAGCCACACUGGAACUGAGACACGGUCCAGACUCCUACGGGAGGCAGCAGUGGGGAAUAUUGCGCAAUGGGCGCAAGCCUGAUGCAGCCAUGCCGCGUGUAUGAAGAAGGCCUUCGGGUUGUAAAGUUCUUUCGGCGGGGAGGCGUUACCCGCAGAGGAAGCACCGGCUAACUCCGUGCCAGCAGCCGCGGUAAUUC
rnacentral:rRNA from 1 species